AAUAAAAUUUGAGCUAAUUCCAGUUAAGAAAGUUUCAGUUACUUGCUGGGUUGUAUUGUCCUUUUAAUAUUCAAAGCUUCAGCGAAAGCAUGGGGAUUGUUGCUUUUAGAAACACCUCAGGUCUCAUCUGCACUCUGCAUUCUGUUGAGCUAAAGCAGAUCCCCCCCAAAAAAAAGAAACAGGUAAACAAAAAAAAAAAACCAAACACACACACACAAAUGAAGAACAAAAUAAAACACCAUUGGUAGACUUGUUGUGAAUGCAACGAACAUUUAAUCCCUUUGUUUUCCCAGGUGGUGUGGAUGAUACUGGCUGCACUGUUGGAGCUUGGAUUCGGAGAGGAAGAGGUGAGCAGAACUGUAUGUUGCAUCAGCAGUAGUCAGCAUCGUGGAGAAGCUCCCUUGCUGGCUGCAGCAGUAUAUUUUGCCCGUAAUUCUGCGUGUGAAGAUCUGAAUGAAGACAACGGAGUCGUAAGUGUUUAAAGCGUAUACUGUUCUGUUGGAUGGGUUUUGGUUGCCUGUGUGUGUAAGAGUGUGACUGAGACGGAAUUUAGUUCCGAAGCCAUUGUGGAGGUCUUCUUUACCACGGUUCCAAUCUCCCGCGAGGGACUUGGCCGGUGAAGGACCGAAGGGAUUCCCAAAGGAUUUGUGGGUGGGUGAUAGAUCUUAAAUCCUCUUUAAGACACUCUUAUUAAGGUAACCAAGGGCUGUGGGAAUUGCCAGAGUAACAUUCCUAGAUGGGUGAGACAAAACCGAAGACCAGGGACCAGAAGAAAGGAAGCAAAUUACCAGACAUACCAGCAGAAAGUCCAUUAGGAAUAACGAUUAGAAACUGGAACGAGAGAGGCCCCAGAAACGUAAAAAGUAAAUAAAAAAGGGUCCAGUCUUGUGUGAUAGAAUGGCCAAAGGAGCUUUUAAGACCGCAUGUCUUUGGGCCCGUUUUUGGAUUCUUUGAAGACUGUAUUUGUCAGGCCUUAAAUACACAUGUUAAUUCGAAGGAACCUUUCUGCCGGGAAGAAAGUGAUGAUGCAGGAUUAUGGAUCAGGAGGACUUCAUGUCCUUUUACAGCCUUAAUAUUUACACUAAAAGCAGGUAAGAAAUUUUGAAGAAGAAGAAGAACAGGAAAAAUAAAAAGAUAAUAAACGGGAGCCGUUGGAUAACCUA